GCCCGGCCUUUCCUGGCCUUGUUUAGUUCGAAAAUUUUUUGGAAAAUCGACACUGUAGCAUUUUCGUUGGUAUUUGACAAAUAUUGUCUAAUCAUGGACUAACUAGGCUCAAAAGAUUCGUGUCGUCAAUUCCGACCAAACUAUGUAAUUAGUUUUUAUUUUCGUCUAUAUUUAAUACUUCAUGCAUGCGUCUAAAGAUUCGAUGUGACGGAGAAUCUGGAAUAUUUUGCAAAAUUUUUUGGUAACUAAACAAGGCCCUGGAGAAAGAAAAAAAUGAAAAAACAUAUGAAAAAACAGAGAAAGAAAAAAUUCAUAAUGUAUAUGUAUAUUAGGCCAUGUUUAGUUCCUCACCCAAAAAUAAGACAGAGAAAGAACCCUAGUACUCGCCGUUGUAACCUUUGCAGCGCUGUUGUCGUCGCCAUCGUGGAGCACCGCCGCGGAACACACACACACAUGUACACACACUUGAUCAUCCAGGGCCGAUGCGCGCGUGCGCGCGCGCACACACACACCGGAUCGACGUCUCUCUGCCGUCUAUCUCUCUCUCACACACACAUACAUAUGUAAAUGUGAUAUAAUAUUUGUUCCCUCUUUCUUCCUUCUUCCAGAUCGAAGUCUUUCUGCCGUCGUCACCGAAGUCCCCGUCGAGUCUCCGCACCGACCGCCUUCUCUCCGCCGUCUCACCCCCUUCAAACUACAGGUAUGUCGAGAUGGAUCUAUUAGUGGUACAAUUAGUGCUAUAAUUAGUGAUACAAUUAGUGGUAUAAAUUAGUGGUAUAAUUAUGAUAUAUUUAAUUAUUAGCAAAUGAUAUACACUAAACCCUAAACCUAAACCCUAAGCCCUAAACCCUGAACCCUAACCCCUGAACCCUAACCCCUAAACCCUAAACCGUAAGCCCUAAACACAUAUACUCUCUCUCUCUCACUUAUUUGUGACCGGUUCAGAUCAUGCCACUUUUGUUAGCAAAUGAUGUAAACCCUAAGCCGUAAACCCUAAACCUUGAAACCUAAGCCGUAAACCCCAAACCCUUAGCCAUAAACUGUUGCGGAAAACCCUAAGUUGUAAACCCUAGUUUUAUAUAUUGUUUCCUUGUCAGGUAUACACAGUAGUGCGAGUAGUCAUGUGUCACCAAUUUCUUAUAAAUCUACAAUAUUGCCUCUGC
rnacentral:lncRNA from 1 species